UAAACAGGCCACGUGCUGAACUACUGGGA
rnacentral:piRNA from 1 species